UAACAUGCAAGUCGAACGGCAGCAUGAUCUAGCUUGCUAGAUUGAUGGCGAGUGGCGAACGGGUGAGUAAUACAUCGGAACGUGCCCUGUAGUGGGGGAUAACUAGUCGAAAGAUUAGCUAAUACCGCAUACGACCUGAGGGUGAAAGUGGGGGACCGCAAGGCCUCAUGCUAUAGGAGCGGCCGAUGUCUGAUUAGCUAGUUGGUGGGGUAAAGGCCCACCAAGGCGACGAUCAGUAGCUGGUCUGAGAGGACGAUCAGCCACACUGGGACUGAGACACGGCCCAGACUCCUACGGGAGGCAGCAGUGGGGAAUUUUGGACAAUGGGGGCAACCCUGAUCCAGCAAUGCCGCGUGUGUGAAGAAGGCCUUCGGGUUGUAAAGCACUUUUGUCCGGAAAGAAAUCGCACUUACUAAUAUUAGGUGUGGAUGACGGUACCGGAAGAAUAAGGACCGGCUAACUACGUGCCAGCAGCCGCGGUAAUACGUAGGGUCCAAGCGUUAAUCGGAAUUACUGGGCGUAAAGCGUGCGCAGGCGGUUGUGCAAGACCGAUGUGAAAUCCCCGGGCUUAACCUGGGAAUUGCAUUGGUGACUGCACGGCUAGAGUGUGUCAGAGGGGGGUAGAAUUCCACGUGUAGCAGUGAAAUGCGUAGAGAUGUGGAGGAAUACCGAUGGCGAAGGCAGCCCCCUGGGAUAACACUGACGCUCAUGCACGAAAGC
rnacentral:rRNA from 1 species